UUAAUAUUUCAUUUGAUACUUUCGAGUCCAUACAUUUGAUACCUCACAAGAGCUCAUAACUAACCGCUGUCACCUUGUCACCUAAACACCGCAUAACCUGUAUACCUGAUGACCUAGCCUUUUUACCCGUUGACCUGAUACCCCGUCACCUGAUGACCCACGAACCCUCUCAUCUUAAUUAUUUUUAACCUGUUGACCCAGUG